UUUUUUUCAUGAAAAUAAGAUUAUACGAAAUCCUGCCUUCCUUAAAGUCGACAUGACCCAGUGAUGAAGAACCUACAUUGUGAUUUCUACUUGCGCAUCAGGAAUCCAGGAUUAAUUUAAUGAAUACAGCACAACAGUGAUCUCUGAACCCUUGUGUAGGGACCAUUGACAUGGGAAGACAUUGCAACAGAAGUAUCAUCAAGAAUUGGCGAUGCUCAGUUCCCAAGACAUUAUAGCUCUUCUUGUGAUCCCUUAUUAGCCAGUGGGGCACCAACACCACCAGGCUGACGAUACAAGAGAGCAUCAUGUUGGGGAGAGUUUUCUCGCCUUGAGCUGCUGUUUGAAUACUUCAGUCUGUCUUUUUCUACAACCCUGUCAACUGAAGAGAUGGACAGAUUCCACAAGCAAAAGCCUGUAUUGACCAGAAGGUGACUUCAGCACUGUCCACACACCUUCUGACACAGUCUAUAGUAGUCAAAGAAAGAAAGAAAGAAAGAAAGAAAAGAGAGAGA